AUUGAACGCUGGCGGCAGGCCUAACACAUGCAAGUCGAGCGGAGCGGCGGACGGGUGAGUAAUGCCUAGGAAUCUGCCUGGUAGUCGGGGAUAACGUCCGGAAACGGGCGCUAAUACCACAUGCUAUCAGAGGACCCUAGGUCGGAUUGGCUAGUUGGGGGGGUAAAGGCCUACCAAGGCGACGAUCCGUAACUGGUCUGAGAGGAUGAUCAGUCAAACUGGAACUGAGAAACGGCCCGGACUCCUACGGGAGGAAGCAGUGGGGAAUCUUGGGCAAGGGACGAAAGUCGGAUCGAGCAAUGCCGCGUGUGUGAAGAAGGUUUUCGGAUUGUAAAACACUUUUGUUUGGGAGGCGUUACCUACAGAGAAAGCCACGGCUAACUCCGUGCCAGCAGCCGCGGUAAUUC
rnacentral:rRNA from 1 species